UCUCACCUGGCCACCCCAGGAGGUCAAGAGGUCUCAUGAGUCUGGGGACACCACGCAGCCCGAACACCAAAUGCUUCUAGGGACCUGAACUCGUUCAUCCCUACGUCUGCUCUGGGAGGCAGGAACUAUGACCAGCACUAUUUUCACAGGACAAAGUCUAGACUCCCAGACUCGUGGCCCAUUGGACCUUCAGAUGAAUGGAGACCGGAAGACAGGAAGACCCAAC